CCCCCAUCAAUCAGAUCCUCGUAAACAAACCCGGGCGGGCGGCCGACCCUCGUGUGUUGCUGGGAGAAAUAGAGAAGAGAAUGUUGUUUUUUUGGUGGGUUGGGUCCCGUGAAGAGGGUAAGGAUGUGAGCAGUGAUGGUGUCAAUCAAUAACGCCUGUAAUGUGUCCAGUGAUCCCCACCGUUCGCGCGGCUUGUUUCCAGCAUAACGUCUUCGCUUGCAGUACAUNNNNNNNNCCGCGCUCGUUUCGUUUCCAAUAGUGGAAAUGUGGGUUUCCAAUUUGGGUGGAGAUCUUCU
rnacentral:misc_RNA from 1 species